rnacentral:tRNA from 1 species
AAUUAUGAAACAAUUAAUUGUAUUCAAUUACGAAUUGAAUUUUAAGUUUAAAUUUAAACUCUUAAUUA